rnacentral:rRNA from 1 species
AUACGGAGGAUGCAAGCGUUAUCCGGAUUUAUUGGGUUUAAAGGGUGCGCAGGCGGGAGAUUAAGUCGGCGGUGAAAUUUUGCAGCUCAACUGUAAAAGUGCCUUCGAAACUGGUUUCCUUGAGUGGAGAUGAAGUAGGCGGAAUUUGUGGUGUAGCGGUGAAAUGCUUAGAUAUCACGAGGAACUCCGAUUGCGCAGGCAGCUUACUAAACCACUACUGACGCUCAGGCACGAAGGCGUGGGGAUCAAACAGGAUUAGAUACCCUGGUAGUCCACGCAGUAAACGAUGAUUACUGGCUGUUUGCGAUACAAUGUAAGCGGCUGAGCGAAAGCGUUAAGUAAUCCACCUGGGGAGUUCGUUCGCAAGAAUGAAACUCAAAUGAAUUGACGGGG